rnacentral:rRNA from 1 species
AUGGCAGAAUUCUUCAGGUCAUUGAUCGUUACUGCCAAGACAAUUGCUACCAUGAUAAUUCAUCCCUCGCUUUGCAAGAUUGAGGAAUUGCUUGCAUGGAUGGAGUGCCCAAAUUGCAAAUACCGCAUUGAUAAUACUGAUGUUUUAUCACAGUGGCCAGGCCUCCCUGCUGGUGUUAAAUUCGAUCCAACUGAUCUCGAACUGCUUGAACAUUUAGAAGGAAAGGUUGGCAGGGUAGCGUCCCAUGUACUAAUAGAUGAUUUUAUUCCAACCAUAAAGGAGGCCCAAGGAAUCUGCUAUACACAUCCGGAAAAUCUCCCUGGUAUCAAGAUGGACGGGAGCACCGGUCACUUCUUCCACAAAGUAUCCAAUGCAUACGUUGUUGGCAAGCGUAAGCGUCGCAAGAUUAGCAACAGUGACCACACUGUUUGUGAUGAGAAUCUCAGAUGGCACAAGACUGGAAAAUCCAGAUCUAUCUUAGAUAAUAACGGUGUCAUAAAAGGGUGGAAGAAAAUAUUGGUUCUUUACAUAGGUUAUCGGAAAGGAGGUGGCAAGACAGAGAAAACUAAUUGGAGAAUGCAUCAGUACCACCUUGGGGUAGAUCAAGAUGAAAAGCAGGAGGAGCUUGUUGUUUCCAAAGUCUUUUAUCAGGUGCAGUCAAUGAAUGCUGGGCAGUCUCUAGUGUGCGGUGUUAAUGAAGAAUUCGAUUCAUUUGCUGGGGAAGACGAUCCUACAACCCCAAUGACAUACCCUCUGCAGACUCGUUGCCCAAACGGCAGCCCAUCCGGAACCGAGCAGAAUCAGGAGGAGGGAGAGUCCCGCGUGUCUACAGUUCGGGAAGCGGGGGAAUGGCUCGCUGGAAGCUCGUCGCAUGCCAUGGAUGACGCAGCGGUGUCUGGCCUGGAUGAACACCUGUCACACGGCAGAAUCCCGGAGGAGGCGCUCCUGGGGUUCCCCGACCUCGGAAUGCCUCCGGAUGUCUCCCUUCUCACCGACAUGCAGUUGGGGUCGCAGGAUAGCAUGGAGAUGUGGCUGGUUAGCGUGUUAACAGAGGAUGAGGGGGUAUUUGAAGCAGCGGAGCAACGAGAAGAGGCUGGUUUUUCUCCGUGA